UAAUAAUAGGAAUUCUUUUGACCAUUAGGUUCUCUUUGACAUUUCUUCUUCUACUUUGUCACGGGCUGAUAAAAGAGGUACAGGCAUACCAUACAAAAUACAACACAUCUCCCGAAGAGUAGACAAGUCUUAAAUAUAAAAAAAUCUGCAAGAUAAUCCUUCCUUACAAGACGAUGUCCUCUCCUGACCAUUUAGAUGAGUUUCCGCUAUGCCUGUGAGUAGAGUUCUUUGCUUUCUCACAAAACUGUUGGGAAAUUGAGAAAAAAAAACA